rfam:Picea glauca, whole genome shotgun sequence.
AUGUACAUUCCUACAUCAUAGAGUUAAUGCACCGGAUCCCAUUAGAAAUCCGCAGUUAAGCGCGCUCAGGCUAGAGUAGUAUUGGGAUGGUUGACCACCUGGGAAGUCCCAAUGUUUUACAUG